rnacentral:rRNA from 1 species
GAUGAACGCUGGCGGCGUGCCUAAUACAUGCAAGUCGAGCGAACAGACGAGGAGCUUGCUCCUCUGACGUUAGCGGCGGACGGGUGAGUAACACGUGGAUAACCUACCUAUAAGACUGGGAUCACUUCGGGAAACCGGAGCUAAUACCGGAUAAUAUAUUGAACCGCAUGGUUCAAUAGUUAAAGACGGUUUUGCUGUCACUUAUAGAUGGAUCCGCGCCGCAUUAGCUAGUUGGUAAGGUAACGGCUUACCAAGGCAACGAUGCGUAGCCGACCUGAGAGGGUGAUCGGCCACACUGGAACUGAGACACGGUCCAGACUCCUACGGGAGGCAGCAGUAGGGAAUCUUCCGCAAUGGGCGAAAGCCUGACGGAGCAACGCCGCGUGAGUGAUGAAGGUCUUCGGAUCGUAAAACGCUGUUAUUAGGGAAGAACAAAUGUGUAAGUAACUAUGCACGUCUUGACGGUACCGAAUCAGAAAGCCACGGCUAACUACGUG